CCCUUAGAUGUUCUGGGCCGCACGCGUGCUACACUGAGUGGAUCAGCGGGUCAGGUUGCGCGAAAGCGUUUCCUAAUCUUUAAAUCCGCUCGUGAUGGGGAUUGGCGGUUGCAAUUUUCUGUCAUGAACGAGGAAUACCUUGUAAGCGCGGGUCAUCAUCCCGCGCUGAAUACGUCCCUGCCCUUUGUACACACCGCCCGUCGCUCCUACCGAUUGAGUGGUCCAGUGAGGCUUUGGGAUCUGAGCGGAAAGAGCGUUUCGCUGUUUCUGCUCGGAAAACUCAGUCGAACCUUAUCAUUUAGAGGAAGGAGAAGUCGUAACA
rnacentral:rRNA from 1 species